rnacentral:rRNA from 1 species
GACGAACCGUGCGAACGUUGUUCGGAUUCACUGGGCUUAAAGGGCGCGUAGGCGGGUGAUCAAGUCCGGGGUGAAAUCCUCCAGCUUAACUGGAGAAUAGCCCUGGAUACUGGUCGUCUUGAGGGAGGUAGGGGCAUGUGGAACUUCCGGUGGAGCGGUGAAAUGCGUAGAUAUCGGAAGGAACGCCGGUGGCGAAAGCGACGUGCUGGACCUCUUCUGACGCUGAGGCGCGAAAGCCAGGGGAGCAAACGGG